rnacentral:rRNA from 1 species
UACGGGGGGGCGAGCGUUGUUCGGAAUCACUGGGCGUAAAGGGCGCGUAGGCGGCCCGCACAAGUCUGCGGUGAAAACCCCCGGCUUAACCGGGGGCCGGCCGUGGAAACUGUCGGGCUGGAGGCCGGGGAGAGGGCAGGCGGAAUUCCCGGUGUAGCGGUGAAAUGCGGUAGAAGAUCGGGAGGAACACCGGCGGGCGAAGGCGGC